UACGGAGGAUCCAAGCGCUAUCCGGAUUUAUUGGGUUUAAAGGGUGCGCAGGCGGGAAAUUAAGUCGGCGGUGAAAUUUUGCGGCUCAACCGUAAAAGUGCCUUCGAUACUGGUUUUCUUGAGUGUAGAUGAAGUAGGCGGAAUUUGUGGUGUAGCGGUGAAAUGCAUAGAUAUCACGAGGAACUCCGAUUGCGCAGGCAGCUUACUAAACUACUACUGACGCUCAGGCACGAAGGCGUGGGGAUCAAACAGGAUUAGAUACCCCGGUAGUCCCU
rnacentral:rRNA from 1 species